CCUACGGGUGGCAGCAGUGGGGAAUAUUGGACAAUGGGCGAAAGCCUGAUCCAGCCAUGCCGCGUGUGUGAAGAAGGCCUUCGGGUUGUAAAGCACUUUCAGUGGGGAAGAAAGCCUUGGGGCUAAUACCCUCGAGGAAGGACAUCACCCACAGAAGAAGCACCGGCUAACUCCGUGCCAGCAGCCGCGGUAAUACGGAGGGUGUGAGCGUUAAUCGGAAUUACUGGGCGUAAAGCGCGCGUAGGCGGUCUGAUAAGCCGGUUGUGAAAGCCCCGGGCUCAACCUGGGAACGGCAUCCGGAACUGUCAGGCUAGAGUGCAGGAGAGGAAGGUAGAAUUCCCGGUGUAGCGGUGAAAUGCGUAGAGAUCGGGAGGAAUACCAGUGGCGAAGGCGGCCUUCUGGACUGACACUGACGCUGAGGUGCGAAAGCGUGGGUAGCAAACAGGAUUAGAUACCCCAGUAUC
rnacentral:rRNA from 1 species